CCUACGGGUGGCAGCAGUGAGGAAUAUUGGUCAAUGGACGAGAGUCUGAACCAGCCAAGUAGCGUGAAGGAUGACUGCCCUAUGGGUUGUAAACUUCUUUUAUAUGGGAAUAAAACGUUCCACGUGUGGGAUUUUGUAUGUACCAUAUGAAUAAGGAUCGGCUAACUCCGUGCCAGCAGCCGCGGUAAUACGGAGGAUCCGAGCGUUAUCCGGAUUUAUUGGGUUUAAAGGGAGCGUAGGUGGAUUGUUAAGUCAGUUGUGAAAGUUUGCGGCUCAACCGUAAAAUUGCAGUUGAAACUGGCAGUCUUGAGUACAGUAGAGGUGGGCGGAAUGCGUGGUGUAGCGGUGAAAUGCUUAGAUAUCACGAAGAACUCCGAUUGCGAAAGCAGUUCACUGGACUGCAACUGACACUGAGGCUCGAAAGUGUGGGUAUCAAACAGGAUUAGAUACCCUUGUAGUC
rnacentral:rRNA from 1 species